rnacentral:rRNA from 1 species
UACGUAGGGUGCAGGCGUUAAUCGGAAUUACUGGGCGUAAAGCGUGCGCAGGCGGUUUGCUAAGACAGGUGUGAAAUCCCCGGGCUUAACCUGGGAACUGCGCUUGUAACUAGCAGGCUAGAGUGUGGCAGAGGGGGGUGGAAUUCCAGGUGUAGCAGUGAAAUGCGUAGAUAUCUGGAGGAACACCGGUGGCGAAGGCGGCAUCCUGGACCGGCAUUGACGCUGAUGAGCGAAAGCUAGGGGAGCAAACGGG